rnacentral:misc_RNA from 1 species
UGGUUCUGGCAUCGAUGAAGAACGCAGCGAAAUGCGAUAAGUAAUGUGAAUUGCAGAAUUCAGUGAAUCAUCGAAUCUUUGAACGCACAUUGCGCCCGCCAGCAUUCUGGCGGGCAUGCCUGUUCGAGCGUCAUUUCAACCCCUCGGGCCCCCGGGCCCGGCGUCGGGGCACCCCCGCGAGGGGGGCCCCCAGAGGCAUCGGCGGGACCGCCGCGGCUCCGAGCGCAGUAGAAGACAAAACUCUCGCUGAGGAGGCCCGCGGCGCGCAGCCCGGCCGCUAAACCCCCAAAGACAAAACAAAGUUUGACCUCGGAUCAGGUAGGAAUACCCGCUGA